rnacentral:rRNA from 1 species
GAGAACCUCUACGAUAGUGACCCUUCUUACCAUUGGUGAUGAGGGAACUUGAAUAAGAGGCCCGACUCUGAGGUGCCUGACGCAUUUCCAACCCGCUAUAAUUAGACGCCGCAGCCGGUUGGGUAGCUGCGCGUGUCGGCCAUGAGGUAGGGCAGUGGCAGUAGACCGUUUCUCGCUAAAAAGUGGCGUUUGCCGGAUCGUUUAGCCAGCCCUACCGUGGCGCGACACCCGACCGAGGAUAAAGGGGUCAGAGAUGGCCCCGCCGUCCCUUCCUUAUUCUGUAUAACACUAUAUUAAAAUAAAGAGCGGACCGGCGGACAGGCGAGUUGCUGCGCCAUACUGCUCUAGUCACCGAACUGGGUAGUGCGUGGUAGCCGUUGGUGGUCCGCGUCGGUUAAACCGCAAUGGGGAAAUCUCGAAUUAAAAAAGAUGGCUUGUGGCGAGUAGGUCGGUCACCCACCCGACCCGUCUUGAAACACGGACCAAGGAGUCUAACAUGUGCGCAAGUCAUGGGGUCUUGUUUAGGCCCAGAGGCGUAAUGAAAGUGAGACAUUGCUUCUUCUUCUUAGAGGAAUACAUUAUAAAGUUGGGAUUUCCCGAGGAGUUGGAAGCCCGGGAAAGCACCAACGACCCGCCCUAGUACUAUGAUUUAAUUAUAAAGUGUGGACGGCGUUAGAGCGCACACGUUGGGACCCGAAAGAUGGUGAACUAUGCCUGGGCAGGACGAAGCCAGAGGAAACUCUGGUGGAGGUCCGCAGCG